rnacentral:rRNA from 1 species
AGCAGCCGCGGUAAUUCCAGCUCCAAUAGCGUAUAUUAAAGUUGUUGCAGUUAAAAAGCUCGUAGUUGAAUUUCGGGAUUCGUCCAUUGGUCAGGCUUAACUGUCUGUACUGGUGUGUCGGAUUUCUACCUUCUGAAGAACCUUUAUGCCAUUAAUUUGGUGUGUUGGGGAAUCAGGACUGUUACUUUGAAAAAAUUAGAGUGUUUAAAGCAGGCUAACGUCUGAAUACAUUAGCAUGGAAUAAUGAAAUAGGACGGUACGGUUCUAUUUUGUUGGCUUCUAGGAUCGCCGUAAUGAUUAAUAGGGAUAGUUGGGGGCAUUAGUAUUCAAUUGUCAGAGGUGAAAUUCUUGGAUCUAUUGAAGACUAACUACUGCGAAAGCAUUUGCCAAGGAUGUUUU